NNNNNNNNNNGUGGAGGCUAUGUUCCACCAAGUCAGAGUCAGCAAUGAAGACACGGAUUUUUUCAGGUUUCUUUGGUGGCCCGAGGGGAACUGCGAGCAGGCACUUGUUGAACACAAGAUGUUGGUCCACAUCUUCGGCGCAACGUCUUCACCAAGUGUUGCUACUUUUGCACUUCAGAAAUGUGCUACAGAUUUUGAGGAUGAAUUUGGUCAAGAAGCUGCCAAAACAGUGAAGAAAAAUUUUUAUGUAGACGAUUGUCUUAAAUCAGUUACAGAUGAAGACACAGCAAUCACCCUUUGUGCUGACUUAAGGACCAUGUUGGCAAAAGGUGGAUUUCGACUAACGAAAUGGUCAAGUAACAGUCGAAGGUUGCUCAACUCCAUUCCUGAAGAGGAAAGGGCCAAAGGUUUUCAGGAUUUGGACUUGGAUGAAGAUAACUUGCCAAUGGAGAGAGCAUUGGGAAUUCAGUGGUGUGCUGAAACGGAUCAGUUCAAGUUCAAAAUUAACCUCAAAGUUCGACCACACACUAGGAGAGGCCUGCUUUCCCUCGUCUGUUCCAUUUUUGAUCCGAUGGGUUUUCUUGCUCCAGUGGUACUGCCUGCCAAAAGAAUCUUGCAAGACUUAUGCCGGCAGAAGUAUAGCUGGGAUGAAGAUCUGCCUGAUAACGUCAUUAAGAGUUGGAAAAGGUGGAUGUCUGGAUUGAAACAGCUUGAGACCUUUGGAGUUGACAGAUGUGUUAAGUCAAAGCAGUUUGGUGUGCCAGUCUUUGCACAGUUACAUCAUUUUGCUGAUGCUAGUCAAGACGCAUAUGGAACAACAAGUUACCUACUGCUACGCACUGCAAGUGGUGAAGCUCAAUCCACCCUGAUUAUGGCAAAGGCAAGGGUUGCGCCCUUAAAGUCUCCAACCAUACCAAGAAUGGAAUUGACUGCAGCCACAGUUGCUGUCAAGAUGGACAAGCUUCUGAAGAAAGAGCUUGAACUGGAACUUAACGAGUCAAUUUUUUGGACAGAUAGCACGGCUGUGCUGAAAUAUUUGAACAGCGAAGGCACAAGAUUCAAGACUUUCGUUGCCAAUAGGAUCACAACAAUCCUGGAGCACUCUCAGACUUCACAGUGGAGAUAUGUGAAUACCAAUCUGAACCCUGCUGAUCAUGUCUCGAGAGGACAGACUGUUGAAGCGUUCUUGAAUAAUGAAAGCUGGCUUUCAGGACCAAGUUUCCUGCUCUGUACACAAGACCAGUGGCCCAAAAAUCCAGAUUUUGGAAUGCUGGACAUUGAGGACUCUGAGGUUAAAAAGGUAGUUGAAGUGCAUGUUAUUCAGACGCAAGAGUCCAAAGAUGCUAUGGAACAGUUGAUGACCUAUUACUCAUCCUGGACAAAACUAAAACGCGCUGUCGACUGGUUUCUGAAAUUUAAAGAUUUGCUUAAGGAACUGAAAGCAAAGAGAAAGGAACCAAACUCACAUGGAGAAAACAAAAUUAAUCAGUUCAAGAAAGCUUUCAAAGGAACGCACCUAACCUGUGAAGGUUUGACUGAAGCAGAAAGAGAAAUUGUGAAAUACUCUCAAAAACAAAGCUUCAAAGAAGACUUGAAUAUGCUAAAGGAACAUCAAAGGGUAAAGAAGAGUAGUUCGCUCUACAAGUUGAACCCCGUACUUCAAAAUGGAGUCAUUAGAGUCGGUGGAAGGAUGAGCCGCGCAGCAAUGCCAGAGGAUUCCAAGCAGCAAGCCAUCUUAUCAAAAGAUUCACAUAUCACGAGGCUUGUGCUGAAGCACAUUCACGAUGUUACAGCUCAUGCUGGGAGAAAUCAUAUGUUGGCACAACUGCGUCAAAGAUCCAAACGGCGCUAUUAGAAAGUUCUUGUCCAGGUGCAUCAGCUGUAAGAAACUACACGGAACUGCUGGUAAGCAACUCAUGGCUGAUCUACCAAGAUGCAGGGUCCUGCCUGACAGUCCUCCAUUCACAAGAGUCGGUGUUGACUACUUUGGUCCAUUUUUGGUGAAAAGAGGAAGAGGGCAAGUAAAGAGAUAUGGUGUCAUCUUUACAUGUCUUGCCAUACGAGCAGUACAUCUGGAAGUAGCAUCUUCACUUGACACUGAUGCAUGCCUCAAUGCAAUUAGAAGAUUUAUUGCAAGAAGAGGACAAGUCAAAGAGAUGUACUCUGAUAAUGGAACCAACUUCAGGUCGGCUGACAGUGAGUUAAAAAAAUCAAUAAAAGAAUGGAACACCAGCAAGAUAGCAAAGAACUUGCAGGAGAAGGGAGUUCAGUGGCACUUUAAUGCAGCUCCAAGAACGUCAACGAUGGUCCACUCCUGGAAGAAACUUCAGUGUUGGUGAUGUAGUGCUGAUUGUG
ensembl:lncRNA